rnacentral:lncRNA from 1 species
ACUCAAGAACCCAGCCCCCAUAGUGUGAGGAGGCCUAGGACAGUUACAGAAGCCAUGUGUAGGUGUUCUGGCUCCAGCAAAAGUCUUAUCUGACAACAUCAACUACAUGUUAGUGGGGUUUGUCUUGGUCCAUUUUAUGCUGCUAUAACAGAACACCACAGACUGAGAAAUUUAUAAGGAAUAGAAGUUUAUUUGCCUCAUGUUUCUGGAGGCUGGGAAUUCCAAGAUCAAGGGGCUGCAUAGAUUGAGGUCCUUUUUGCUGACUCAUAACGUGGAAAGAGAGUGCACUGCAUAGAAGAAAGGAGGCCAAACUCAUUCUUUUAUCAUGAGCCUACUCCUGAAAUAACUCACUCUCAAGAUAAUGGCAUUAAUCCAUUCAUGAAGGCAGAAUACUCAUGAUGUAAUCACCUCUUAAAAGUUUGAUCUCAGUGACAUUACAAGCAAGCAGAAACACUCAGACAUGAAAUGGCCAGUGCCUGUGAGUUAAGAGCAGGAUCUAGGUCUAUUUUUUUGAUAUGUAUCUCAACUACCUGGAAUACUUUAUACUUUUGGCACUCAAUAAAUAUUUGUUGCUGCCAGACGAUCUGCCA